rnacentral:rRNA from 2 species
UUUGAAAUCUGGCCCCUUUGGGGUCCGAGUUGUAAUUUGCAGAGGGAGCUUUUGGCGUCGGUCGUGGUCUAAGUUCCUUGGAACAGGACGUCACAGAGGGUGAGAAUCCCGUACGUGGCCGCCGGCCUUCGCCUUGUAAAGCCCCUUCGACGAGUCGAGUUGUUUGGGAAUGCAGCUCUAAAUGGGAGGUAAAUUUCUUCUAAAGCUAAAUACCCGCCAGAGACCGAUAGCGCACAAGUAGAGUGAUCGAAAGAUGAAAAGCACUUUGGAAAGAGAGUGAAAAAGCACGUGAAAUUGUUGAAAGGGAAGCGCUUGCGGCCAGACGUGCCCGCGGUUGAUCAUCCAGGCUCCAGCCUGGUGCACUCCUCCGCGGGCAGGCCAGCAUCAGUUCGGGCGGUCGGAUAAAGGCCUCUAUCACGUACCACCCCUCGGGGUGGCCUUAUAGGGGAGGCGCAACACGGCCAGCCCGGACUGAGGUUCCGCGCAUCUGCUAGGAUGCUGGCGUAAUGGCAGCAAGCGGCCCGUCUUGAAACACGGACCAAGGAGUCUAACAUCUAUGCGAGUGUUUGGGUGUCAAGCCCGAGCGCGCAAUGAAAGUGAACGGAGGUGGGAACCCUUACCGGUGCACCAUCGACCGAUCCUGAUGUCUUCGGAUGGAUUUGAGUAAGAGCAUAGCUGUUGGGACCCGAAAGAUGGUGAACUAUGCCUGAAUAGGGUGAAGCCAGAGGAAACUCUGGUGGAGGCUCGCAGCGGUUCUGACGUGCAAAUCGAUCGUCAAAUUUGGGCAUAGGGGCGAAAGACUAAUCGAACCAUCUAGUAGCUGGUUCCUGCCGAA